UACGAAGGGGGCUAGCGUUGCUCGGAAUCACUGGGCGUAAAGCGCACGUAGGCGGCUUUGUAAGUUAGAGGUGAAAGCCCGGGGCUCAACUCCGGAACUGCCUUUAAGACUGCAUCGCUUGAAUCCGGGAGAGGUGAGUGGAAUUCCGAGUGUAGAGGUGAAAGUUCGUAGAUAUUCGGAAGAACACCAGUGGCGAAGGCGGCUCACUGGACCGGUAAUUGACGCUGAGGCGCGAAAGCGUGGGUAGCAAACGGG
rnacentral:rRNA from 1 species